AGCGAACGCUGGCGGCAGGCCUAACACAUGCAAGUCGAACGGAUCCUUCGGGAUUAGUGGCGGACGGGUGAGUAACACGUGGGAACGUGCCCUUUGGUUCGGAACAACUCAGGGAAACUUGAGCUAAUACCGGAUGUGCCCUUCGGGGGAAAGAUUUAUCGCCAUUGGAGCGGCCCGCGUCUGAUUAGCUAGUUGGUGGGGUAAAGGCCCACCAAGGCGACGUUCAGUAGCUGGUCUGAGAGGAUGAUCAGCCACAUUGGGACUGAGACACGGUCCAAACUCCUACGGGAGGCGGCAGUGGGGAAUCUUGCGCAAUGGGCGAAAGCCUGACGCAGGCAUGCCGCGUGAAUGAUGAAGGUCUUAGGAUUGUAAAAUUCUUUCACCGGGGACGAUAAUGACGGUACCCGGAGAAGAAGCCCCGGCUAACUUCGUGCCAGCAGCCGCAGUAA
rnacentral:rRNA from 1 species